rnacentral:piRNA from 1 species
UAAUAGGCAUGAUCCCCUUUGAGAUGGUAGC